UGAAAAUAUGAAGGAUAUGGAUAUAUGGAAUUCAUGCCGAGAUGAAGGAAUUGUAAGAAUCAUCCUGAGGAUAAAGUACAAGAGAAACUAGGAGCAAAAAUGAAGGAAAAAGGAAAGAAGUGAAAAACUGGAAAUUUAAUGACACGGAUCCGAGGAUCCGAGCUCGGAUCCGUGAGAGCAAAGAGGGAUCCGAGCCCUUGUCUGUACUUCUAGAGGAGCGUAUCCAAGGUCAAACGAUCCGACCUCGGAUCCAUCAUGGGAAGUCUUCAGAUCCUGAAGAUCCGAGCUCGGAUCCUUUUUCACCCCUCGGAUCCCAAGCUCGGAUCUGUCUCUCUCUUCAGCAAGUGGCACAGCCGUUUUUCUUUACCUUUCUCACAACUUUUCCAGCUAUUUUGAGGGACAGAAGUCGGUGACACAUGCUUCUGCAAAAAAAGAGAAGACCAAAUGAGUUGUAGACAAAAGGAAACAUCAUAUCUUUGACUUCUUUUUACAAAAUCUGAGUGGAGGAAAUUAUGAAGUGAGAGGAAUAGACUUUCUAUCACCUUUUAUGCAGAAACACAAGGAAGAAGCAAAAAGGACCAUACGUAGCUAGUUUUCUUUCUUGUAACCAGUUUCUCUCUAGCUAGGAGUCCUUGGAGAAGCAUUUGGGGUUUUCACUUGUAAUCAUUUUGUACAAGAACAUAGCAGAAAUUGGAGGUCUUCACCAUCAAUUGGCUAAGCUUUCUUUUAUCUUUCUUGUACUUGUACUUUAUGAUGUUUUGCAUUAAUAAACUUGUGAGUUUGAUUGUUAAAUCAUUCAUGAGUAGCUAAUUUUCUUUAUCUAGGGAGUAGAUGAAACUUAUGGCUAAAUAAUAUGAGUUGAAUGUGAUUUACACUUGUUAUAUCUUGUAUUAACUUGUCUACUUGUGUAGCUGUGAUUACUUGUUAUUGAUUGAUCACCAAUAGCAUGUUUAUAGUUGUUAUUGUUCAAUGAGAAUUGGUAGUAACAAUGGAAACACAUGAGUAGAGCUUAAGUUGUAUGUUCAUGAAAAUAGAAAUACAUUUAAGUGGAUUACUUAGCAUUUCAUGAAAAAAAACAGAAGAGUAUUAGUAUUUCAUCAUGAAAAUAGGGAAAACUAAACUACUCUAGGUCAUUUCAUCAUGAGAAUGAGACUUGGUAAUUUUAGAAAUAAAUCUCUGGUUAAACAAGAAUAAUAACAAGAGGUAAAUCCAUUCAUUUGUGUUGUUUACGUCAUAAGUGGAAUCUACAUCUCUAGAUUCUUUCUUGAGUGAAAUUUCUCCAUUUGCAUUUAACAUUUGUUAAACUAGAUUUGUAUAUCAGAUUUGUAGACUAUAGCAAUAUACUUUCUCUGCUCAAAUUUAUUGUAAGUCUAAAUAAUAGAGAAAAUAAGGGCCUAGUACUUGUUUAAUUUGCUCCUCGUGGGAUCGACCCGAUACAUACCCUACAUUACGAUUUCGGCCUGUAUACUUGCAGCUAACGGGUAUAAAAAUCGGAUUUAAACUUGCAUUAAUAAAAACAAAUCCUGUCAGAUGUCCUGAUAAAACUUGCAUAGAUCACAAUUCUUAUUAGGGACAAUUUUAGAAACCUCUCCUUAGGUGUAUGACAAUUGCAUUGAGCUCUCUUAAGGUUUGCCAAAUUAUACCUACCUCCCUAAAUUUGAUAGUUUUGGUAAUGGUGUAAUUUAAGAAAUCUUCCCUGAGGUUUAUGACAAUUUCACUGAGCUUUCCUAAGGUUUGGAAAAUUACAUCUAGCUUCCCUAAUUUGAUAGUUUAAGUAACCAAACAUUAGAAUAACAUUAACUUGAUCAAAAUUAAAUGAAUACCCUAAAAUGCCCUUGUGUAAUGAGUUUUAAUUUGUUUCCCUGUACAAUUGUAAGAUUAUCUAGCGCAUUAUAAGAAAAAGCUGCCAAAUUUUUCAUACCUAUAUCUACUAUUUGAGAAAUAACCACAAUAAUAUUUUUAUCACUAUGAUGUGAUACUUUUGAUAGUAUUUUACUAUGAAUUUAGAUUUAUAUGAUAAAGAAGAAAGUGCUACUAUAAUUCUUUUAGAUUUUGUGAAUUUUUUGAGUAGUUGGAUUACUGUAGAUUAGUAGUGAUUUUGGGCCAUUUCUUUUUUAUAGGCAAAAGUGGUAGUUCUAUAGUUUUGUUGCCAAAAAAUAAAAAAGCGGAACAAAAAGGAAAAAGAAUUAAAAAAUAAUUUUAAAACUGAUUCCUUGUAUAAGCUUACCGAACAUGGGAAUUUCAUUAAAAUGUUUAAGGGUAGUAUUGUCAUUUUAAAUGGUAAGAAAGGUAUGUUUAAUUUUUAAAAUCUCGAAAGAGUUAAGUGAAAUUAUAGGGAUAAUGCAUUGCUUAUAAAAUGAGAAAACAUAAGUUGAAAGACAAAAUCUAAUUUUUUUUUUAUUUUAGCUCAUGCUUGAAACUAGCAAGAUAUAAAAAUGUUCUACAAGUUUCAUGGAAAAAAAAGCUCUAAGAACAUUUGUUCUUGAAAAAAUUGAGGAAUGGAAAACUGUAAUUGCAUUAGGAAAGACGUACAAUUAAUUGACCAAGAAUGCGAAUAGACUUAUAGACAUUAGAACAAUCCAACACAAUGAUUUUAAACCACUACACUCUUCAAUCGAUUAGUCAAUAAAAUUACAAAAUGAAAAGAGAACUUUACAUCAAGGAAAGCACAGAGGGUGAAAUAUCAGCAAUAGAUAUUUAAAACAUAUUUAUUUAAUUGAGUCACAAAAAAAUUGAUUUGGCAAAGAAUGAAAGAAAAAUAUAUCAAUCUUAGAUCUAGUCAUAUAUAUAUUUUUCUGAAUUUCUAAAUCUUUUUUGAAAAUUCUUUGCUUUGCAUUGAACAAUAUUUGUUUUAUGUUAAUCACUCCACACAUAUGUAUGUAUGUAUAUAUAUAUAUAUAUACACACACACAUUAGAUAAAAUUAAUUCAUGAUUUCUGUUGAAGAGUCAGUCGAGGAGAAUGACCUAAAUAGAACGGCGAGUGAACAAAAAUGAACUGACCUGCAAAAGAACCGAACUACAGGACUAACUCUCCGUUAUGG
rnacentral:lncRNA from 1 species